AGCAGCCGCGGUAAUUCCAGCUCCAAUAGCGUAUAUUAAAGUUGUUGCAGUUAAAAGCUCGUAGUUGAAUUUCGGGAUCAAUAUGUUGGUCGUACCAUUGGUACGUACUGGCAUUAUUGAUUCCUACCUUCUGAAGAAUCUUGAUGUCAUUAAUUUGGUGUCUUGGGAAAUCAGGACUGUUACUUUGAAAAAUUGAGUGUUUAAAGUAGGCUCGCGCUUGAAUACAUUAGCAUGGAAUAAUGAAAUAGGACGUUUGAUUCUAUUUUGUUGGUUUCUAGGAUCGAUGUAAUGAUUAANAGGGAUAGUUGGGGGCAUUAGUAUUCAAUUGUCAGAGGUGAAAUUCUUGGAUUUAUUGAAGACUAAACUACUGCGAAAGCAUUUGCCAAGGAUGUUUUCAUUAAUCAAGAACGAAGU
rnacentral:misc_RNA from 1 species